rnacentral:rRNA from 1 species
UACGGAGGGGGCUAGCGUUGUUCGGAAUUACUGGGCGUAAAGCGCACGUAGGCGGCUUUGUAAGUUAGAGGUGAAAGCCCGGGGGCUCAACUCCGGAAUUGCCUUUAAGACUGCAUCGCUAGAAUUGUGGAGAGGUAAGUGGAAUUCCGAGUGUAGAGGUGAAAUUCGUAGAUAUUCGGGAAGAACACCAGUGGCGAAGGCGACUUACUGGACACAUAUUGACGCUGAGGUGCGAAAGCGUGGGGAGCAAACAGGG